rnacentral:rRNA from 1 species
AACCAGCACCUCAAGUGGUCAGGAGGAUUAUUGGGCCUAAAGCAUCCGUAGCCUGCUCUGUAAGUUUUCGGUUAAAUCUAUAUGCUCAACGUAUAGGCUGCCGAAACUACUGCAGUGCUAGGAAGUGGGAGAGGUAGACGGUACUUGGUAGGAAGGGGUAAAAUCCUUUGAUCUAUCGAUGACCACCUGUGGCGAAGGCGGUCUACCAGAACACGUUCGACGCUGAGGUGCGAAAGCGUGGGGAGCGAACAGG